rnacentral:rRNA from 1 species
GAUGAACGCUGGCGGCGUGCCUAAUACAUGCCAGUCGAGCGAACAGACGAGGAGCUUGCUCCUUUGACGUUAGCGGCGGACGGGUGAGUAACACGUGGGUAACCUACCUAUAAGACUGGGAUAACUUCGGGAAACCGGAGAUAAUACCGGAUAAUAUUUCGAACCGCAUGGUUCGAUAGUGAAAGAUGGCUUUGCUAUCACUUAUAGAUGGACCUGCGCCGUAUUAGCUAGUUGGUAAGGUAACGGCUUACCAAGGCAACGAUACGUAGCCGACCUGAGAGGAUGAUCAGCCACACUGGAACUGAGACACGGUCCAGACUCCUACGGGAGGCAGCAGUAGGGAAUCUUCCGCAAUGGGCGAAAGCCUGACGGAGCAACGCCGCGUGAGUGAUGAAGGUCUUCGGAUCGUAAAACUCUGUUAUUAGGGAAGAACAAACGUGUAAGUAACUGUGCACGUCUUGACGGUACCUAAUCAGAAAGCCACGGCUAACUACGUG